UUUGACAUUUCUAUUUUCAUAUAUAGUUGUUACAGGAGCAAACAAGUAGGUCAAUUGGAAAUAUCAAAUAUGCAAGCGGAUAGCGUCUAAUGGGAUUGUGGUUGUGUUACAUCUCGAGAUGAGAAAUUAGGUUUUGAAUCUGUAUAAUAUUUCAAGUCUCUUGGAUUUUCUGAUGCAAUCUUCCCUCAACUCGAUGUAAUAAAUCAAGAGUGUAGUUUCCUCGGCAAGCUUCAUUGAGAACCAUUUUAGGAAACUUUGACAUAAUGCUAUGGGACAUGUUGAGCCUAGAUGUGGGGCAUACCAAGCCACCCAAAAACAGGUUGAGUCAACUUAGCACGACUUGAUUUACACUAGCAUUUGUGCUGCUAGUUUGUGACAACAGUGAUAUUCUUGCGCAUUUUGAUAAAUAUAAUGAUCAAAAAUUUUUACAGGUCAACAAUGCAGGAAUCGGUGGAGUCACUGGGGAUUGGGAAGCAUUUAAAGACUAGGUAUAUGUCACUGACCUAUUCUCUUACACACAAACAAAUUACACCACUGUAAUAAAAGAUAGGCAAGUGAAGAAAACCAAGAAAGUUGAGUUGAUGAAGACGUUAAAAAAUAAAACUUAUGCAAUGGCUGAAGAAUGUAUAUAAACAAACUACAAUGGCACAAAAAGAGGAACUUCUUCCAUUCGUCAUAUUAUCAGAUUCAGGAAGAAUAGUAAACGUGUCUGAAACUAUAGGGAAACUUCAGGUAUACGAAUUUAUCACAAAAAUUUGCCAAUGGAAUCUAAUUAUUUCUCCUUAUUCUUGUAGGGGGAAAUGACAUGGACUUGGAGAAGAGUUAAAUGACAUGGACUUGCUCACUAGAGGGCAUAGCGAGAGAGCUUAGGCCUUAGGAAGAGAAGAAAGUCCAACUUCCACUGGAUCUCCAUUCCAUUCCCUGGAGGCUUCGAGCAUCUAUCGCCCUGGAGAUUUCUCUAUAAAUCAGGACUACGGCUGAGAGAAUGAAUGAGAUGGUGAAUGGAUUUCUCAAAGAUUUCAAGAAUGUGGCUUUGAAGUCAAAAGUUUGACCCUUGUAUCUAUCAACAUAUAGUGUCAAAAGCAGCUGUCAAAGCCUAUACAAGGAUUCUUGCCAAGAGUACACUAGUCUAUGCAUGAACUGUGUUUGUCCUGAUUUUGUGAAGAUGGAUAUGAACUCAAACAUGGGAAUUCACACAGUCGAAGAUGGGAAAAGGUCCCUGUUAUGUUGGCUUUCGAAGCUGAUGUUUUUAUACUCUAACCACGCUAGUUAGUCUACUAUUAUUUCAAAAUUCUUUUUUUUUUUUUUCCCUCAAACUCAUUUUCAACCACACAUUCUAACACUAAAAUA
rnacentral:lncRNA from 1 species